rnacentral:rRNA from 1 species
GACAGAGGAUGCAAGCGUUAUCCGGAAUGAUUGGGCGUAAAGCGUGUGUAGGUGGCUUUUUAAGUCCGCCGUCAAAUCCCAGGGCUCAACCCUGGACAGGCGGUGGAAACUACUAAGCUGGAGUACGGUAGGGGCAGAGGGAAUUUCCGGUGGAGCGGUGAAAUGCGUAGAGAUCGGAAAGAACACCAGCGGCGAAAGCGCUCUGCUGGGCCGACACUGACACUGAGAGACGAAAGCUAGGGGAGCGAAUGGG